rnacentral:rRNA from 1 species
AUCGCGGAUCAGCAUGCCGCCGGGUGAAUACGUUCCCGGGGAUUGUACACACCGCCCGUCACACCAUGAGAGUCGGGAACACCCAAAGUCCGUAGUCUAACCGCAAGGAGGACGCGGCCUAAGGUGGGUUCGAUAAUUGGGGUGAAGUCGUAACAAGGUAUC